rnacentral:rRNA from 1 species
AGGGGCAUGUGAGGGCUGUCGCUGACUCAAAGUCGUGCACGCCCGAGUGUGUCCUCUCACAUAAUAAUCCAUCUCACCCUUUGUGCAUCGCCGCGUGAGCACCCUUUGGGAUCAUCUCGGAGGGGGCUCGCGUUUUCACACAAACCCCCCUUUUAAAAGUGUAGAAUGACCUCAUUUAUGCGCUAACACGCAAUCAAUACAACUUUCAACAACGGAUCUCUUGGCUCUCGCAUCGAUGAAGAACGCAGCGAAAUGCGAUACGUAAUGUGAAUUGCAGAAUUCAGUGAAUCAUCGAAUCUUUGAACGCACCUUGCGCCCCUUGGUAUUCCGAGGGGCACACCCGUUUGAGUGUCGUGAAAACCUCAACCUCCUUGGUUUCUUCUGGAGACCAAAGGCAGGCUUGGACUUUGGAGGCCCUUGCUGGAACCUCUCUCUUUUGAAGGCCAGCUCCUCUUAAACGAAUUAGCAGGGUCCUCUUUGCCGAUCCUCGACGUGUGAUAAGAUGUUUCCAUGUCUUGGUUUCUGGCUCUGUCACUUUUGGGACCCGCUUCUAACCGUCUUGACCUUGCAUCGAGACAAUGUUCGAGCAUGUCUCCCUUCUCGGGAAGCUCCCUCGACCCCACGAACCCUUGACCUCAAAUCGGGUGAGACUACCCGCUGAACUUAAGCAUAUCAAUAAGCGGAGGAAAAGAAACUAACAAGGAUUCCCCUAGUAACUGCGAGUGAAGCGGGAAAAGCUCAAAUUUAAAAUCUGGCGGUCUUUGGCCGUCCGAGUUGUAAUUUAGAGAAGCGUCUUCCGCGCUGGGACCGUGUACAA